rnacentral:rRNA from 1 species
CUACGUGCCAGCAGCCGCGGUAAUACGUAGGGUGCGAGCGUUAAUCGGAAUUACUGGGCGUAAAGCGAGCGCAGACGGUUACUUAAGCAGGAUGUGAAAUCCCCGGGCUCAACCUGGGAACUGCGUUCUGAACUGGGUGACUAGAGUGUGUCAGAGGGAGGUAGAAUUCCACGUGUAGCAGUGAAAUGCGUAGAGAUGUGGAGGAAUACCGAUGGCGAAGGCAGCCUCCUGGGAUAACACUGACGUUCAUGCUCGAAAGCGUGGGUAGCAAACAGGAUUAGAUACCCUGGUAGUCCACGCCCUAAACGAUGUCAAUUAGCUGUUGGGCAACUUGAUUGCUUAGUAGCGUAGCUAACGCGUGAAAUUGACCGCCUGGGGAGUACGGUCGCAAGAUUAAAACUCAAAGGAAUUGACGGGGACCCGCACAAGCGGUGGAGCAUGUGGUUUAAUUCGAUGAUACGCGAGAAACCUUACCUGGGUUUGACAUCAAGAGCAAUACUAUAGAGAUA